rnacentral:rRNA from 1 species
AGAGUUUGAUCAUGGCUCAGAUUGAACGCUGGCGGCAGGCCUAACACAUGCAAGUCGAGCGGUAGCACAGAGAGCUUGCUCUCGGGUGACGAGCGGCGGACGGGUGAGUAAUGUCUGGGAAACUGCCUGAUGGAGGGGGAUAACUACUGGAAACGGUAGCUAAUACCGCAUAAUGUCGCAAGACCAAAGUGGGGGACCUUCGGGCCUCAUGCCAUCAGAUGUGCCCAGAUGGGAUUAGCUAGUAGGUGGGGUAACGGCUCACCUAGGCGACGAUCCCUAGCUGGUCUGAGAGGAUGACCAGCCACACUGGAACUGAGACACGGUCCAGACUCCUACGGGAGGCAGCAGUGGGGAAUAUUGCACAAUGGGCGCAAGCCUGAUGCAGCCAUGCCGCGUGUGUGAAGAAGGCCUUCGGGUUGUAAAGCACUUUCAGCGGGGAGGAAGGCGGUGAGGUUAAUAACCUCAUCGAUUGACGUUACCCGCAGAAGAAGCACCGGCUAACUCCGUGCCAGCAGCCGCGGUAAUACGGAGGGUGCAAGCGUUAAUCGGAAUUACUGGGCGUAAAGCGCACGCAGGCGGUCUGUCAAGUCGGAUGUGAAAUCCCCGGGCUUAACCUGGGAACUGCAUUCGAAACUGGCAGGCUAGAGUCUUGUAGAGGGGGGUAGAAUUCCAGGUGUAGCGGUGAAAUGCGUAGAGAUCUGGAGGAAUACCGGUGGCGAAGGCGGCCCCCUGGACAAAGACUGACGCUCAGGUGCGAAAGCGUGGGGAGCAAACAGGAUUAGAUACCCUGGUAGUCCACGCCGUAAACGAUGUCGAUUUGGAGGUUGUGCCCUUGAGGCGUGGCUUCCGGAGCUAACGCGUUAAAUCGACCGCCUGGGGAGUACGGCCGCAAGGUUAAAACUCAAAUGAAUUGACGGGGGCCCGCACAAGCGGUGGAGCAUGUGGUUUAAUUCGAUGCAACGCGAAGAACCUUACCUGGUCUUGACAUCCACAGAACUUUCCAGAGAUGGAUUGGUGCCUUCGGGAACUGUGAGACAGGUGCUGCAUGGCUGUCGUCAGCUCGUGUUGUGAAAUGUUGGGUUAAGUCCCGCAACGAGCGCAACCCUUAUCCUUUGUUGCCAGCGGUUCGGCCGGGAACUCAAAGGAGACUGCCAGUGAUAAACUGGAGGAAGGUGGGGAUGACGUCAAGUCAUCAUGGCCCUUACGACCAGGGCUACACACGUGCUACAAUGGCAUAUACAAAGAGAAGCGACCUCGCGAGAGCAAGCGGACCUCAUAAAGUAUGUCGUAGUCCGGAUUGGAGUCUGCAACUCGACUCCAUGAAGUCGGAAUCGCUAGUAAUCGUAGAUCAGAAUGCUACGGUGAAUACGUU